CAGUAGCCGCGGGAAUACAGAGGGUGCGAGCGUUAAUCGGAUUUACUGGGCGUAAAGCGUGCGUAGGCGGCUUCUUAAGUCGGAUGUGAAAUCCCUGAGCUUAACUUAGGAAUUGCAUUCGAUACUGGGAAGCUAGAGUAUGGGAGAGGAUGGUAGAAUUCCAGGUGUAGCGGUGAAAUGCGUAGAGAUCUGGAGGAAUACCGAUGGCGAAGGCAGCCAUCUGGCCUAAUACUGACGCUGAGGUACGAAAGCAUGGGGAGCAAACAGGAUUAGAGACCCCAGUAGUCCCUGUCUCUUAUAC
rnacentral:rRNA from 1 species